rnacentral:rRNA from 1 species
UACAGAGGGUGCGAGCGUUAAUCGGAAUUACUGGGCGUAAAGCGUGCGUAGACGGUUAUUUAAGUCAGAUGUGAAAGCCCCGGGCUCAACCUGGGAAUUGCAUUUGAGACUGAAUAGCUAGGGUGCGGUAGAGGGAAGCGGAAUUUCCGGUGUAGCGGUGAAAUGCGUAGAUAUCGGAAGGAACAUCAGUGGCGAAGGCGGCUACCUGGACAAUUGCUGACGCUCAGGCACGAAAGCGUGGGGAGCAAACAGG